AUCACUCCUGUUGUUGGAACGAUGUUAUCUUAUUCUUUUUUCAUAAAACCAACCUACUGCUCAUCUUUCUUGUAUUUCCUUUUCAAAGAAAAGUAUUUUAGCAAAAUGUGGAUAUCAGUAAUAAUAAUUGCUGAUGAUCUAGAAGAAUUAAAAGUAUAAUUUGCGGAAAAGCUACGGGGGGACUCGCUACCCGAGCAUCGCUUCUAGGCGUGAACUUGACCCAAGACUACCGUGUCUCUUGGUCAUACAUCAUAAUUACAAUUACACGGUUAAGAUUGUCAUAUUAAGUACAGCAAGUAAACAGUAUAUUAAUAUUUAACCACACAUCUUAAUUAAUUGCAAUAUAGAAGUACAAUAUCAAA